UGAACGCUGGCGGCGUGCCUAAUACAUGCAAGUCGAGCGAACAGAUAAGGAGCUUGCUCCUUUGACGUUAGCGGCGGACGGGUGAGUAACACGUGGGUAACCUACCUAUAAGACUGGGAUAACUUCGGGAAACCGGAGCUAAUACCGGAUAACAUUUGGAACCGCAUGGUUCUAAAGUGAAAGAUGGUUUUGCUAUCACUUAUAGAUUGACCCGCGCCGUAUUAGCUAGUUGGUAAGGUAACGGCUUACCAAGGCGACGAUACGUAGCCGACCUGAGAGGGUGAUCGGCCACACUGGAACUGAGACACGGUCCAGACUCCUACGGGAGGCAGCAGUAGGGAAUCUUCCGCAAAGGGCGAAAGCCUGACGGAGCAACGCCGCGUGAGUGAUGAAGGGUUUCGGCUCGUAAAACUCUGUUAUUAGGGAAGAACAAAUGUGUAAGUAACUGUGCACGUCUUGACGGUACCUAAUCAGAAAGCCACGGCUAACUACGUG
rnacentral:rRNA from 1 species